CUUCUAAGGUACUUCAGCGGAAUAAUUGGUGCCAAUGGGCGUCUCUUUUUUGUUUACUUAUCAGAGGGAAGUGUGCCUUGAUAUCCUGGCGAUGUCGACGGUGUUCUUGUCCCUCCCUGUCCUGCAAAGUGAGGAUUUUCUUUCUGUUGGCUUCCAUUCUCGCCUAUCACCCUGUCGGCCACCCCUACCUUCAGCUACUCCAAAAAUUCCCAACUCUUACGCGGUCUAAUCACCAUUCUCCCUUACCUACACCUUGCCAUUGAGAAAAACUCCGCAGUCAAUUACUUCCUGGAGCACAGCCCUUCAAAGCCUCCCCUCGCCGGUUAUUCGGCUCCAAGUAUGAUGCCGCCAAAGCUGAAUGGGACCGCCUAUUGCGCCUUAAUAUUGUUCGGCGCUCAAAGAGUCCGUAUGCUUCUGCCCUCCAUGUCGUGAAAAAAACGGACUGUUCCUUGCGGCCCCUGGGUGAUUUCCGCACCCUCAACCGGCCCACUGUCCCAGACUUUUACAAUCUGCCUCACAUUGAAGGUUUCUGCCUCAACCUUCGCGGCUGCACUGUGUUUAGUAAGGUUGAUCUCGUCCACGCCUUCCACCAAAUUCCAGUUGAUGAAUAAAGCAUCCCCCCUCACUGCCACCAUAGCACCCUUUGGCCUUUUUGAAUGGCUCCGAAUGCCUUUUGGCCUUCGAAAUGCCGCACAGGUUUUCCAAUGUUUCAUGGACACUGUUUUGGACGGACUGGCGGAAGUAUAUUGCUAUGUCGACGACAUUCUUGUUGCCUCUGAUUAUCAUGUUCAACAUCUGCAGCACUUAACGACCUUUUUCCACCGUUUGGCCGUGUUCGGCUUAAUCCUCAACCCCACCAAAUGCCUCUUUGGUCAGGAAAGCCUCACUUUUCUUGGUUGCCACCUGUCUGCUAACGGCAUUACUCCAGUUUUUGAUCGUGUGCAAGGUUUUCCAGUCCCUUCACAGUCUUACACUGCAAAGUUACCCGUCACAACAAAACAGCCCAUGAUCCAAUCCACAAGACCCCUUCAGACAAAUUUGCGGAGCUUCAUGUGGAUACCGUGGGUCCGCUCCCGUCUAGCCGUGGUCGUCGCUAUCUCCUAGCUAUUGUUGAUUGCUUCUCGCGUUGGUCAGAGGCGCUCCCUAUGACAGGCAUUGAUGCUUCUACCUGCGCUGCAAUUUUACUCCAUGGUUGGGUUCAACGUUUUGGAGUUUACGAACUAGAACCUUUAUUAAAAAGAGAUGUUUUCGUA